UCUAUUCAGUAAUUCUCCCUUAUGUCUCACUCUAAAGGUCCCGGAUGUUCUGUGGUAGAUGUGGAUAUAAAUAUCAAAGGCCCUUCAAUGGAUGACUUGUUUUCAAAAGGAAAAGGAACAAUAGUGUGUGAGGUCACGGUAAAUAAGGUCUCUGCAGACAAGAUUUAUUGGACAGACGAGCAAGGGAAAGACCUAGCUGCUGCCUCAACAACUAGAAGCAAAGGAGGUAAAGGCAAAUUCAGCCUUCCCCUUGAAAUCUCCUUUGAUGAUUGGAGCCGUGGGGUAAAGCACUUCUGUAAUGUUGUACAUUCGGAGUAUACUGACCCCAUCAAGAAACAGCUUGAAAGGAAUAUUGGAGGACUGACUCAGCGUCCAUCAGUGUUUAUGCUGCCUCCGUUAGAACAUACUAGAAAAGAAAUGGUGACCUUGUCUUGCUAUGUGAAAGACUUCUACCCCAAGGAGGUUUAUGUGUCUUGGCUUGUUGAUGACGAGAAAGCAGACUCAAAGUUCGGGUUCCAUACCACAGAACCUGUAGAAAACCAAGGAUCUUAUUCGGCAUAUAGCCAGCUAUCCCUCAGCUUCGAGCAGUGGAACAAGAGUGAUGCAGUGUUUAGUUGUGUAGUAUACCACGAGUCUCUGACUAACACAACUAAUGCUAUUGUCAGGUCCAUUGGGUCCAAAACCUCUCAAAACAUCAACCUGGUCAACCUCAACAUGAACAUCCCUGAAACGUGCAAGGCCCAGUAGAUGUUUUUUUUUUUGUCUCCAUCUGUCUUCUGUUGUUUGUUGCUUGUGAUUUGACAUUGUGUUUGUCUUUAAAUGCAAAAUAAAAACAAAAAAAAAGGUUGAA